rnacentral:lncRNA from 1 species
GGCAAACAUACUUUUAUUUUAUUGAUGAAAGUCAGUGCACUGGAAAAAGGAGUGGAAGGUGUGGUGUCUAGGGCUCAUCAUUAUUUGCAGUUCUAUGGCAUAGGAGAAAAACAUGCACAGAUACAUUUCCAUAAUGCAGCUGAGCAGAACAAAAACAACUAUGUCAUUUGGUAUGCAGUUAUAGAGCACUUUAAUAGGACUACAUGAGACUGUUGCAAUGAGUAUUUUGGUGACAGGGCACAGGAAAUUCAACCCAGAUUAGCAUUUUGAUGUAUGGAAAGUGAAGUAGAGAGAUCCUGAUGCAUAAACUAUGACCCAAAUCGCUGACACUUUGAGUCAGUCAUUAAAAUGGGCUCACAAUGUUCCACAAGUAGUUGAUAAUCCUGAAACACCUGUUGUUUUUUACAGCUUGAGGCAAUUUCUUGAACAGUAUUUUAAACCAAUUAAACAGUUGUCUAUAUACCAACAUUUCUUUGUCAGUUCAGUUGAACCAGAUGUUGUAUGUUGCAAAGACUAUUUCAAUUCUGAAUAAGUUAAAGUAACUAUACUGAAGCAAGUGCUCGAUAAAAAUGCUAUGGUUGUAGUAAAAGCUUUUUCAGGUGGUAUUUGUCUUAAAAUUUUUGAGGUUGCUUCUUAACACACUGUUUUGAUUUUAUAUCCAUAUUAUUCAGUUUUUUUUUCAAGUCCGUUUAUUUUGCAGAUGUCGAGCAUAGAAUGAUUUACUAACAAUGCUAUGGAAAAGGUGAAAUAUUUUAUAGUUGCUAGGCAACAGAACGUAAGUUGUAAUUUUUUUGUGGACAUUGUUUUGCGUUUAAAUUAGUUCUUGUUAGAUUCUGAACACUCAGUUAUAUGAAAAUACUAUGUUGUUGAGGGUUUUAAAAAAUAUGAUUAAACCAUCAUAACUGUGAUUCGAAGUCACUGUGAAAUUCCUUUUGCAAAUGCAAUUUAAAGCAAUGUUGUUUUUUUUUUGUUUUUGUUUUUGUUUUGUUAAAGAAAAGUUAUUUUGCCUUCAAAAUACCCUCUUAUUUUAGAUAGAAUGGAUAGAAAUCGUCAAGUCUGCUUCCUGAAACAUUGUUUAGAUUUUGGAUGAAGAUUAUUUCAUAUUACAAAACAUUUAUAUCAUCAUUCAAGGGUAGACAGUUAUAUAACAACCAGAAGAGAUAUAUAUUCUCUGGUUGCUAGGCAACAGGAAGAAUCAUUAAAGUUACAGACAUUUUUAAUGAUAGUUCUUUGGUUGAUAGUCCUUUGCUUCUAUGCAUAUUUUACAACCAAAUUUUUUAACAGGACACCUUCAUUUUAAAUUAAUGUCAAUAUGCUAGCAAUAUUCUGUAGGGAAUUGUCUCAAAAUGUUGUUUAGACAUAAAAUAAAGAAACUGAACACAGUAAAUUGCUCCUGUAUUUUAUUUUCUGUUUACAAAACUGUAUUUCAUAUACUUACCUGAAGGCAAGAAAAAUGCCUCAUAAUCAGUGCAGAUUGGAACAUGUCUAAAAAUGUUUGUCAAUAUAAAAUUUAAUGUAACUUCACCAUUUUUUGAGAUUUUACCCUCAAAUUUUCAGGAAUUUCUCAUGAGAUGUCAUAGAAUUCAGAAAUAAAGAAAUGUGAAAAAACAUUUUUUGGUCCAUAAGCCCCAUUUUUACAUUCCACGACACAUAUGCUUUUCUUCUUAUCAUAGAUUAAAAAUAUAUAUUUAUUUGUAUGAACAUAAAGGUUAACAUACUGACUGAUCAAAUUACAAUCUAAGAAAGCUGAAAUGAUAUAGUGAGGUAAUCCAUUAUAACAUUGUGUUGAAUGUAUAUGAUAAAUAUAAUGAAGGGAGGUACUAAAAUAUUGUGAAGUUAAUAGUCUUCAUUAUUUGAUGAGUUAAUCAAUUGUUUUACAUGUUGGUUUAUUACAUACAAGUAUGACUUACACGUGUACCCGUAUUAAAGGUAAAUAUAUAAGAUGUUUGAUGCCCUUGUACUGUUAAGUAAUAGUUUCUGAAUUUGUUUACAUUCCCUGUCUGAAUGAAAUUAAGAAACAGACUUUUAUGAGGGUAUCCCAGAAAAAUACCCAUGGCAUGCUCAUUUUUGUAUCAGCACAGUUGUCUAUUCUGUUUCCAAAAAUGUUAAUAUGAGGACUAAAUUUUCGGAGUAAAUAUCUCUUUUAGAAAAUAGCACAAAGCAUUUUAAGGAACUAAGCAGUGUAUAUUUGGAGUAAAUAUCUCUUUUAGAAAAUAGCACAAAGCAUUUUAAGGAACUAAGCAGUGUAUAUUUGGAGUAAAUAUCUCUUUUUAAAAAUAGCACACAACAUUUUAAGGAACUAAGCAGUGUAUAUUUGGAGUAAAUAUCUCUUUUAGAAAAUAGCACACAACAUUUUAAGGAACUAAGCAGUGUAUAUUUGGAGUCUAAAUGUUAAAAAUAACCCAGUUUCAAUUUUUUAUUUACAGUGUCUACAAAAUGUGUUGAAAUUGUCAGUGGACAUUGCUACUGAAACCCCAUCGAAGUCAAUUAAACUGUUUCUAUGGAAGCGCAUUUGUCUGAAAAAAUUUAAAUACCCCCUUGUAAAAUGUACGAAAAGCUGUUGUGUUCCUUAGUUGCAACCAUGGCGACCAAAGGAACAAGUGUGUUGGGAAUUUGCGUUCAGUAUUCAUUUAGUUAUAACAAUUUGUCAAAUCUUUACUAGAUGUGAGAUGUGUAUCGAAACAACCUAUUUAAUUUCAGAUGCAGUUCAUAAAUAUUUGACAGAUGUUUCAUAUUGUUAAAAGAUAUACACCGUAUUAAUAAAGCGACCUUUUUAUUAUGUUUCUUUUAUGAGACUGAUGAGUAAUUACUGCAAAUGCGAAAUCAAUACGCAUAAUAGAAUAACAUCAAUACCUUGUCAUGAAUGGAUACUAUAAUUAACCCGUGUUUUUAACGUAACCUUCUUUUCA